rnacentral:rRNA from 1 species
UACAGAGGUCUCAAGCGUUGUUCGGAAUCACUGGGCGUAAAGCGUGCGUAGGCUGUUUCGUAAGUCGUGUGAGAAAGGCGCGGGCUCAACCCGCGGACGGCACAUGAUACUGCGAGACUAGAGUAAUGGAGGGGGAACCGGAAUUCUCGGUGUAGCAGUGAAAUGCGUAGAUAUCGAGAGGAACACUCGUGGCGAAGGCGGGUUCCUGGACAUUAACUGACGCUGAGGCACGAAGGCCAGGGGAGCGAAAGGG